GAUCAUGGCUCAGGACGAACGCUGGCGGCGUGCCUAAUACAUGCAAGUAGAACGCUGAAGAGAGGAGCUUGCUCUUCUUGGAAGAGUUGCGAACGGGUGAGUAACGCGUAGGUAACCUGCCUUGUAGCGGGGGAUAACUAUUGGAAACGAUAGCUAAUACCGCAUAACAAUGGGUGACCCAUGUCAUUCAUUUGAAAGGGGCAACUGCUCCACUACAAGAUGGACCUGCGUUGUAUUAG
rnacentral:rRNA from 1 species